UACAGAGGGGGCAAGCGUUUAUUCGGAAUUAUUGGGCGUAAAGGGCGCGUAGGCGGCCUGGCAAGUGGAUGGUGAAAUCCCUCGGCUUAACCGAGGAACUGCCAUCCAGACUGCUUGGCUUGAGACCGGGAGAGGUGAGUGGAAUUCCCAGUGUAGCGGUGAAAUGCGUAGAUAUUGGGAGGAACACCAGUGGCGAAGGCGGCUCACUGGACCGGUACUGACGCUGAGGCGUGAAAGCGUGGGGAGCAAACGGGG
rnacentral:rRNA from 1 species